rnacentral:sRNA from 2 species
UAGGAAAAAUCGCUGAAUCCUUAAUGGAGCGGGGGAACCAAUUUAGUAACGCGCAUGUGCGUUACUUGGGGUGAAUCCGAUGAGGAAGGGCUACCUCUCCAUGCCCUAACCCGACAGCUAACCUCGUAAGCGUUUUGGGGGGAUGUA